CCUACGGGAGGCAGCAGUGGGGAAUAUUGCACAAUGGGGGAAACCCUGAUGCAGCGACGCCGCGUGAGGGAAGAAGUAAUUCGUUACGUAAAGCUCUAUCAGCAGGGAAGAAACACUGACCGUACGGUCAGCAGACGGUACCUGAGUAAGAAGCGCCGGCUAACUACGUGCCAGCAGCGGCGGUAGUACGAAGGGGGCAAGCGUUAUGCGGAUGGACUGGGUGUAAAGGGAGCGUAGACGGUGUGGCAAGUUUGGCGUGAAAGGCCGCGGCUUAACUGGGGAACUGCGUUGGACACUGGCGAACUAGAGUGCAGGAGGGGUAAGCGGAAUUCCUAGUGUAGCGGUGAAAUGCGUAGAUAUUAGGAGGAACACCAGUGGCGAAGGCGGCUUACUGGACCGUAACUGACGUUGAGGCUCGAAAGCGUGGGGAGCGAACAGGAUUAGAUACCCGUGUAGUC
rnacentral:rRNA from 1 species